GAUGAACGCUGGCGGCGUGCUUAACACAUGCAAGUCGAGCGAAGCACUUAAGUUUGAUUCUUCGGAUGAAGACUUUUGUGACUGAGCGGCGGACGGGUGAGUAACGCGUGGGUAACCUGCCUCAUACAGGGGGAUAACAGUUAGAAAUGACUGCUAAUACCGCAUAAGACCACAGUAACGCAUGGUACAGUGGUAAACACUCCGGUGGUAUGAGAUGGACCGGCGUCUGAUUAGGUGGUUGGUGGGGUAACGGCCGACCAAGCCGAAGAUCAGUAGCCGACCUGAGAGGGUGACCGGCCACAUUGGGACUGAGACACGGCCCAGACUCCUACGGGAGGCAGCAGUGGGGAAUAUUGCACAAUGGAGGAAACUCUGAUGCAGCGACGCCGCGUGAAGGAUGAAGUAUUUCGGUAUGUAAACUUCUAUCAGCAGGGAAGAAAAUGACGGUACCUGACUAAGAAGCCCCGGCUAACUACGUGCCAGCAGCCGCGGUAA
rnacentral:rRNA from 1 species